rnacentral:rRNA from 1 species
AGGACGAACGCUGGCGGCGUGCUUAACACAUGCAAGUCGAGCGGAAAGGCCCUUCGGGGUACUCGAGCGGCGAACGGGUGAGUAACACGUGAGCAACCUGCCCUUAGCUCUGGGAUAGCUCCGGGAAACCGGAAUUAAUACCGGAUAUGACCUAGGCCGACAUCGGCCGUGGUGGAAAGUUUUUCGGCUAGGGAUGGACUCGCGGCCUAUCAGCUAGUUGGUGGGGUAAUGGCCUACCAAGGCGACGACGGGUAGCCGGCCUGAGAGGGCGACCGGCCACACUGGGACUGAGACACGGCCCAGACUCCUACGGGAGGCAGCAGUGGGGAAUCUUGCGCAAUGGGCGAAAGCCUGACGCAGCGACGCCGCGUGGGGAUGAAGGCCUUCGGGUUGUAACCCUUUCAGCAGGGACGAAGCGAAAGUGACGGUACCUGCAGAAGAGCGCCGGCUAACGUACGUGCCAGCAGCCGC